rnacentral:rRNA from 1 species
UCAGGACGAACGCUGGCGGCGUGCUUCAUACAUGCAAGUCGAACGAGAAUCUGGCUUCGGUCAGAGGAAAGUGGCGGACGGGUGAGUAAUGUGUAGAGAAUCUGCCCUUUAGCGGGGGACAACAGUUGGAAACGACUGCUAAUACCCCAUAUGCGCGUAGCUGAGAUGCUAUUCGUGAAAACUCCGGUGCUAAAGGAUGAGUCUGCAUCUGAUUAGCUAGUUGGGGGUGUAAUGGACCACCAAGGCGACGAUCAGUAGCUGGUUUGAGAGGAUGAUCAGCCACAAUGGGACUGAGACACGGCCCAUACUCCUACGGGAGGCAGCAGUAGGGAAUUUUGCGCAAUGGGGGAAACCCUGACGCCAGCAACGCCGCGUGAUUGAAUAAGCCCCUCGGGGUGUAAAGAUCUGUCAGUGGGGACGAAACUUGACGGUACCCACAGAGGAAGCAUCGGCUAACUCCGUGCCAGCCGCUGC